rnacentral:tRNA from 2 species
GGAGGGCUAGUCCUAACUGGUAAGGCAGCGGACUUGAAAUCCGCCGGGCUUCGGCCCUUGGGGGUUCGAAUCCCUCGCCCUCCGCCA